GGCACAAACGCUGCCCGCUCCCGGCUGAGCGCACUUCCGCCUCCUCCCCGCCAUUCAAUCCCAGCGCUGGGAUGCUCCCUCCAUCUCCGUGCCAUGCGGGCUCCAAACAGUUUUACCUGGGUGAGGGAAGCAGGCUGAAGAAAGCAUGUGAUCACACGAAGUCGAGAAUCUUGUUUUCUUUGGAGUGAAACUAUUCCUUUCACCUGUGUGAUGGCAUGAAAGAGUUUUCAUCUGAGGCAAAUGAAAAAUAUUCCACCGCCUUCCCACCAACCUCCAGUACCAGCUCUGUAAAGAACAAAAGGAAUGAGGCUGGAGAGAAACCAUCCUGAAAAGGUCAACCAUUUCAACAUGUCCAAAGCAUUGAGGGGUUUCCAGUGAAUUAUAUUCCUCAGGGAAAGGCAGAGGCAUGGGUAGUUGUCUGGUUUUAAGCAUCUCUGACAUGCUUUGAUUCUAAACACCACAUCAGACAAAAUGUGGUGAACUUUAACUUUUAGACUUUUGGUAAAUAGAUAUUUAUCUUAAAAAUACUUCAUCAUUAGUAUGAACAGCAACAGCCAUCCCUCUCUCUUUCUUUCAGGAGAGAUAUUAGAUUUCCUUUUAUUUUCUCCUUGGGACAAAACUGAAGUUGUGACUUGAGCUGAGAUCACCACAAAGAGCAACAGAAAGUCCAGCCUUGAGCUGAGCCAAUUUCACCUCAGAGAAACUACACGAGGAAAGGCAUCCACCAAAUGAUAAAAGCAAACAGCCCCUGUGAGCACAUCAUUCCAUGGGUCUCAUGAAGUGCUUUACUUGAACUUAUAAUACUCUUGAAAUCAGCUUUUGGCCCAACAUAGCUCACAUAAAUUUCAGUCAGGCUUGCAGCUUUCCACCCAAAAUUAACAUGGCUGUUGUUGCCUGUCAAAGAGAUGUCAAAGGCAGUGUGAAUCUGCCUUUCAAGUCUGAGUCAUUGUGACAGGCCACACAAAGUCACUGCUUCUGGUUCUGAGGACAAAGACCUUUAGUUCUGAGGACAAAGACCUUGCAUGUUUUCCAUCUAGCCCAAACCCUUCUGAUACAUUUGUGUGGUGACACAACCUUGGGGAAAAUAUGGUUGUGUGGGCAGCAGCCCUUUGCAAUUCUAACUCUUAAAAACUAAUUCUGUCAUAAGAAAUAAAUCCUUUGUGGAGAAGGCUGAUUGAACCUUAAUUUGCAGAGGUUAAUGCAGAUGCACAAUCCAGCAUCCAAGCAGGGGUUUGUGGUGCUAGUGUGGGCAGUUCUGCUGGGCAAGCUGUGCCAGAACAAUUGGGUUUGGUUGGUGCCUGGACACCGUGGCGCUGAUGAAGCUGCACUUUCACCUAUGGUAGAACUUCAGAACUUCAAAACCUCAUAUUUAAGCAAUAAGGUAAUUUUUAGUCCCAUAUCUGUAUUUCAAAAGUGCAGGCUUACAGACAGUCUGAAAGCUGUCAUCUCACUGAUCAUUGAAGUCAGACUCUGGUUCAUGUAAUGAACAUGUGCCAAAAAGGAAGAACCUGCUCUUACACUUGCUGCCACUACAAAGUUUUAUCAGACAAGGAUGACACAAGGGGACAUUUUUAACCGUUCAGGUGCAACCUGAGUCAGUGGCAGAGUAACAGAUCCACUCCGCUGUUAUCCAGAGAUCUCAUGUUCCCAACCUUCUCCUUACCUCAUGUAACACACCACUAUAAGUAAGAAAUUUAAGGUACCCAGCAACCUAAUGCCGUGGCAGAGGGAGAGGAUGAAAUGAUUAAAAAAACAGCAGGUUAAGAUUUGAACAGGAAAUCUUACCAGGUUAUGCAAAUGCUACAUGAAAUUUUAAUUUAAAACUCAUAACGAUGCUGAUUUCCAGGUAAGAAAAAGGCUUAAUGAAGCUUGACUAAUUAAUUUUAGAGGUGAACCUCUGCUACAUUCUGCAGUGCAAAAGCUGAGGAGAACAGGUGGGGCUUGUUACAGCAUAAAUUCUACUGUUACUUUUCAGAACAUCCUGAAAACUUAAAAGCAAGCUUGCCAUGUGCACAUUACUGAAACAACCAGUGUAUAUUGCCCUGCCCAGAUUCCUUCCCAGCACAAUUCAUCUGAACCUCACUCAGCUGCAGGACAACCCAGAUCCAUAAAAAAGAGUUUUAGUCCCUGAAUACUUCUGCAUGUGUUCCUGGCAGGAGACAAGGAGUGCUGGGCACCAUUCCUGCCACUGGAAAUUCAGCUCCUCACCUCCCUGUUACUCAGUGUCAUGCUAACAAUUCUGCACAGCCACACAGCACUUGCAGACCUGGCAUGUCCUGGUGUUCCCCCCAGCCCCAUUCUGAUGCACACACACACACACACACACACUCAAAUCAAGGCCUCCUAACUUUAUUUCAACUAAACAUUCUUUAAAAAAAAUAUUUAAAAAUUUAAAAAUCAAUGUUGGCCACACCUAACAACAUGUGAAUAUGCAGAGAUCAAAACACAAAGGUCUGUAGAAGUUCUUGGAAGCAGAAAAAAGCAAACCCUACAAAUCAGUAAUAUUUUCAGACUGUUGACAUUUUAUUUUCAAUACAUGCUCAUCUGAGAGCUUCAGGUUUCUGUUUUCAAAGGUGCUUAUUAACCAGUGAUCAUUUUACACUGAACCACAUAUUAUUGGGAUUUUUUUAAAUAUAAAUGAAAAAGUGUAUGUUUUCUGUUAUUUGUAAUUUAUUUUUAAUUAAAUGUGUUUUAACAGAAACAAUGGCUUUUUUUAAUGCAGAGGGAAAAAAAACCCAAAACAAAACCCCCACGUGCUUAGAAAAGAACAGUGUCUCUCCCAGACAGCUUUCCUCUAAUUAAAACAGGCCAAGCAACUCUGAAGAGUGCUGUGUCUGCUUAUGCCACUAGAUAUUUUGUCUGUAUAAAAAUAGUACAAUAAUCAACUCUAUGAAUUGCUGCAGCCUCCAGGAGAAGAAAACCCACCAGUAAAUAUUCUGAAGGGUGUUCAAAAGCUGAAUGAUGUGUUUGAAAACCUCUGUCAUUUGCAGGUAACUGCUGAAUGGAGAAUAUGGUUGGUCAAUAGGUAUUUCUUUUAUGUUCUUCAGUAAAAGAUGGAUUUGGUUUUUCCACUAUAAAGUUUUUACAUUCUUUGCUCUGUUAUCAAUGCUUUACACUCCCACUAUUUUUAUGAGCUAUAACUAACAUCACAAAAGUACUGAUACUGUUUCACACUGAGAUAUGGCCAUGUCACUUUAUUCUCUAAUGAGAUUUUAUCCUGGAGCAUACAGCUGGGCACAUAAAAGGAGCUUAGGAAAAGGAACCAGCCCAACUUCAAUCGUGCCAUGGAAGGCCUUAAACUGGAACAAAAUUAAAAGCAGCAUUUCAGUUUAGGAGAAUGCCUCCCCCUGAGCUAAGGAAGCAGAGACACAUCCUCCUCCCUCCUCCAAAGAUCCAGCCUGUUUCUGUGGGCUAUGCUCUGUCCUUAUCCAAACAGUUUGUCUUAUAAAUAAAUAAAAACACCAAACCUCUCCCUU